rnacentral:rRNA from 1 species
GCUUAGAUAUUAUACAGAACACCGAUUGCGAAGGCAGCUCACUAAGCUGAUACUGACGCUGAGGCACGAAAGCGUGGGGAGCGAACAGGAUUAGAUACCCUGGUAGUCCACGCUGUAAACGAUGAACACUCGCUGUUGGCAAUACAUCGUCAGCGGCUGAGCGAAAGCAUUAAGUGAUCCACCUGGGGAGUACGUCGGCAACGAUGAAACUCAAAGGAAUUGACGGGGGCCCGCACAAGCGGUGGAACAUGUGGUUUAAUUCGAUGAUACGCGAGGAACCUUACCUGGGCUUAAAUGCAGAACGACGGUUCCCGAAAGGGAUCCUUCUUCGGACGGACUGCAAGGUGCUGCAUGGUUGUCGUCAGCUCGUGCCGUGAGGUGUCGGGUUAAGUCCCAUAACGAGCGCAACCCCUAUUGUUAGUUGCCAGCGAGUAAUGUCGGGGACUCUAACGAAACUGCCGGUGUAAACCGAGAGGAAGGUGGGGAUGACGUCAAAUCAGCACGGCCCUUAUGUCCAGGGCUACACACGUGUUACAAUGGACGAUACAGAGGGAAGCUACUUGGCGACAAGAUGCUAAUCUCGAAAAUCGUUCUUAGUUCGGAUUGGAGUCUGCAACUCGACUUCAUGAAGCUGGAAUCGCUAGUAAUCGCACAUCAGCCAUGGUGCGGUGAAUACGUUCCCGGGCAUUGUACACACCGCCCGUCAAGCCAUGGAAGCCGGGGGUACCUAAAGUCCGUAACCGAAAGGAGC